rnacentral:rRNA from 1 species
UUGCCAGACUCCUACGGGAGGCAGCAGUGAGGAAUAUUGGUCAAUGGGCGGAAGCCUGAACCAGCCAAGUCGCGUGAGGGAAGAAGGCCCUGCGGGUCGCAGACCUCUUUGGACGGGGAGCAAGGCCGCCGACGUGUCGGCGGAAGGAGAGUACCCGUAGAACAAGCAUCGGCUAACUCCGUGCCAGCAGCCGCGGUAAUACGUAGGGGGCACGCGUUAUCCGGAUUUACUGGGUGUAAAGGGAGCGUAGACGGCAGCACAAGUCUGGAGUGAAAUGCCGGGGCUUAACCCCGGAACUGCUUUGGAAACUGUGCAGCUAGAGUGCAGGAGAGGUAAGUGGAAUUCCUAGUGUAGCGGUGAAAUGCGUAGAUAUUAGGAGGAACACCAGUGGCGAAGGCGGCUUACUGGACUGUAACUGACGUUGAGGCUCGAAAGCGUGGGGAGCAAACAGGAUUAGAUACCCGGGUAC